UACGUAGGGGCCUAGCGUUGUCCGGAUUUAUUGGGCGUAAAGGGCGCGUAGGCGGGGAGGUAAGUCGGGUGUGAAAUCCCUCGGCCCAACCGAGGAACUGCGCCCGAGACUGCUUCUCUUGAGUCCCGGAGAGGAAGAUGGAAUUCCCGGUGUAGCGGUGAAAUGUGUAGAGAUCGGGAGGAACACCGGUGGCGAAGGCGGCAUCCUGGACCAACACUGACGCUGAGUGAGCGAAAGCCAGGGGAGCAAAGCGGG
rnacentral:rRNA from 1 species